CAUUAACUGAAUCCAUAGGUUAAUGAGGCGAACCGGGGGAACUGAAACAUCUAAGUACCCCGAGGAAAAGAAAUCAACCGAGAUUCCCCCAGUAGCGGCGAGCGAACGGGGAGCAGCCCAGAGCCUGAAUCAGUGUGUGUGUUAGUGGAAGCGUCUGGAAAGGCGCGCGAUACAGGGUGACAGCCCCGUACACAAAAAUGCACAUGCUGUGAGCUCGAUGAGUAGGGCGGGACACGUGGUAUCCUGUCUGAAUAUGGGGGGACCAUCCUCCAAGGCUAAAUACUCCUGACUGACCGAUAGUGAACCAGUACCGUGAGGGAAAGGCGAAAAGAACCCCGGCGAGGGGAGUGAAAAAGAACCUGAAACCGUGUACGUACAAGCAGUGGGAGCACGCUUAGGCGUGUGACUGCGUACCUUUUGUAUAAUGGGUCAGCGACUUAUAUUCUGUAGCAAGGUUAACCGAAUAGGGGAGCCGAAGGGAAACCGAGUCUUAACUGGGCGUUAAGUUGCAGGGUAUAGACCCGAAACCCGGUGAUCUAGCCAUGGGCAGGUUGAAGGUUGGGUAACACUAACUGGAGGACCGAACCGACUAAUGUUGAAAAAUUAGCGGAUGACUUGUGGCUGGGGGUGAAAGGCCAAUCAAACCGGGAGAUAGCUGGUUCUCCCCGAAAGCUAUUUAGGUAGCGCCUCGUGAAUUCAUCUCCGGGGGUAGAGCACUGUUUCGGCAAGGGGGUCAUCCCGACUUACCAACCCGAUGCAAACUGCGAAUACCGGAGAAUGUUAUCACGGGAGACACACGGCGGGUGCUAACGUCCGUCGUGAAGAGGGAAACAACCCAGACCGCCAGCUAAGGUCCCAAAGUCAUGGUUAAGUGGGAAACGAUGUGGGAAGGCCCAGACAGCCAGGAUGUUGGCUUAGAAGCAGCCAUCAUUUAAAGAAAGCGUAAUAGCUCACUGGUCGAGUCGGCCUGCGCGGAAGAUGUAACGGGGCUAAACCAUGCACCGAAGCUGCGGCAGCGACACUGUGUGUUGUUGGGUAGGGGAGCGUUCUGUAAGCCUGCGAAGGUGUGCUGUGAGGCAUGCUGGAGGUAUCAGAAGUGCGAAUGCUGACAUAAGUAACGAUAAAGCGGGUGAAAAGCCCGCUCGCCGGAAGACCAAGGGUUCCUGUCCAACGUUAAUCGGGGCAGGGUGAGUCGACCCCUAAGGCGAGGCCGAAAGGCGUAGUCGAUGGGAAACAGGUUAAUAUUCCUGUACUUGGUGUUACUGCGAAGGGGGGACGGAGAAGGCUAUGUUGGCCGGGCGACGGUUGUCCCGGUUUAAGCGUGUAGGCU
rnacentral:rRNA from 1 species